rnacentral:lncRNA from 1 species
UUUACUGAGCAUGAUGAAGUGAAGCUCAAUAUGUUUACUCUGAGGUCCAGCCUAAGUGUCAUUUUUAAGGAUUUAGGACAGAAAUAUUCUGAAUGUAAGUUUUUAAAAUGUAAAUUUCACAAGGUUUUUCUUAUCAAUACUUUCUGGUAAAGGAGAAUGGACUGGACUGGUAGAUUUUUUUUUUUUUUUGCAGUUCAGUAGACAAAAGUGGUUAUAUUAGUAUAGUUUUUUUUGUAGAGUGCUUCUAUAUUCAUAGUCUUGAUAAAUUUCAAAUUUCUCUUUUCCAUUAUGUGUUUCAAGUGAUAAAUUGAGGAGAAUAAGGACUUGGAAGGUACUAUGUAUCCCUACCCCCUUACUAGCAUCACUUAGGUUCAAACGUCUGUGAACAUUUCAUAAGCAUUUUCCUAGUAACUGUGAAGUAGUUUCUAUAUUUACCAGUUGAAUAUAAAAUUGAUGGUUUAUUAUGUAUAGUUUAAGAUAAAGUUAAUUUAUAGCUUUUGCACAUGCUUAAGGUAUAUACAGAGUCAAUUUGGGGUUUGAACUUAAGGUCUUGGACAUGUGACCAAGGGCUAACUGAGCUGUAUCCUCAGCGAUCUGGUUCUACUUUUAAUGUCUUUUUCUGUAUCUUGGCAGUAUGGAAUCUUAGAAGUUUGGACUGUGAUGUAGUUAAGGGAAUGAAAUUGGUAUUUUGUUGGUGAUGCUGGUCACACAAGAUAAAGAUUUGCUAAAUAUUAAUUUCUUGAGUUAUGUAUUUUAUCUCAUUGUAUCCUUUUAUAUUUACUUGUUUUAUGAUAUUGGGUGCUGAACCCAGGUAGACAUUAUUUUGUGUACUACUUGCAUACUUUAAUUAUACUGAUGCUUGAAUUGUUUGAUUAUUGGCCAUUAGAUGAUCUUUCAACUAAUUCCUGCAUCCUUUUGGAGAGGAUUUCCUGAGGAUUAAACUCCAAGUUGCUUUCCCACUGAGCUACAUCCCCAGCCCUUUUCCUUUUUUUUUUUUUAACAGAGUUUUGCUAAGUCUCAAAGGUUGUUCUCCUUUCUUAGCCUCCUGAGUAGCUGGAAUUAUAGCCAUGCACUGGCAUGUUAAUAUUUACCUUUUAUUGUAGGAGUGAUACAUUGUUUGUUACCUGUAGUUGACAAUGUAGGAUAAGGUAAUUAAAUAGUUAAUUUAGAAAAAACCUGUUUAAAAAUCUAGCACAGAUGGUUGUAGAUAUUAAGACUCUAUCCUCAAAUAGUCAUCUCAAUUGCUAGAGUCUACAUGAGUUUUAUGUAUGUAUAUAAAUAUAUGUAUACUAAUGAACAAUAUCAGUAUAAAUAUUGUAACUGUAUAAAAAUUAGGGUGUCAAAGUUGUUUGGGGUAUGGAGAAAUGAACAUUCAUUUAAAAGUAAGGUAAACAAGGAUUUUUUUCUGGAUUUUUCUUUUAUUGAGCCAUUUUUCCAGUUUUGCAUAUUCAACUUUGAUUUAUCAUAGUAUUUUUGAUCUUGACUAAUAGCAAUAUAUUGGGUCAAUUGAGAAAGUUGAGCUACCGUUCCACUUGAUGGAAGUAAAAGUGUUCUGUUGAGUGAGAAAGAAAAGGAACAAGUGUAGGAUCUGUUGAGGUGUAGUGUAUAUAUGUGUAGGUUCUUUGACCUUGUAAUAUUUGAUGCAAUUGAGAGUGGACACUGUAGUCUUUGUUGUAUAAGCUUCAUCCAAAUAACUUUAUUUGGUUGGUAGUUCUUCUGUACAGAUGACCUGAAGAAAAUUCUCCACAAAUAAGAAUCUGUGGAAGAGAUGAACAAUUUGUUUUUGUGGUUUGGGGAUAGUUUCUUCAACCUGAUGAUGAUUUUCAUCUCUGCCAGGGAAUUUCCAGUCCAGCUAAUUUACAGUAGAAUAAUUUGGCAAAGAGUAAUAGAAGGCAAGAAUUAGUAAUAGGUUGUUGAGUGCAUUGAUGGAUGGGGGAAAGGAAAUAUAGAAUCUAAGUAUACAGAGGUUGGAGCAUGUCCUUAAAUUGUUAUAAAGGUAGAUAUGUAAAUUUAGAGUAAUAUUAGGAUGUUUCACUUUUUGGCAUUGAAAGAACUUAUAUUUGUAUUUUGUAACAGUGAUGCAGUUGAGAAGUCAGUCAUCAUUUACAUGGCAAUAUUUGUUUUUCUUCAGAGGGUGAGUCUCAGCCCCCUUUUCUGUGCCCUCUUUUGAGGUGACUAUAUAAGGGAAUGUCUUAACAUUACUGUGACUAGCAAGAUUUGCUGAUCAAGUAUCUGUAUUGGAAUGGGUAAAGGGCAUUUCUAGACAGCUUUGAUUAAAUUGGAGCUUUUCAAAAUUUAAUGUGCAUAUGAAUUACUUGGAGGAGAGCUUAUUAAAACAGUUUUCUGGGUCCCAGUUUUGGAAUUUCUGCUUUUCAUUAGGUAUAGAUGUGAAAUUAGAUUUUUAAUAAGUUGGCAGAUGGUAUUGUUCCUAGGCACAACACUUAGAGAACAAUGGGGUGGUUGUGUUCAGGAUGGAGUUUUCAUUUUCUGAAUGUGCUUUUAUAUGACUUAAUUAAUUAAUUAAUUAAUUUUUUGUCUUUGUUGAUUUUUUUUUUACAUUCAGUCUCCUGGUGAUCUUAUGAUAUGUCUUCUAUGCUUAAAGCAAUAGACAUUUGUUUAUCUGACUGCAAGAAUAGCUAUGCAUAAAUCCCUGGACAAAAAUAAUUAAAGGGAAAAAGGUAGAAAGAAUAAAAGUUGUCAUUAGUGUGUACCCAGAGACAGUGUGUUGAUGUAGGUCAGUGUUAGAGUGGCUGCCUAAUAGGUGCAAAGCCCUGGGUUUGAUCCCAAACACUUCCAAACAAAUGUAAACACAGUGAUAUUAACUCUAUGAAAACUGACAUAACAUUUGAUUGCUUUAACAUAAUAUUUAAUAUGACUUAAUUUAUAUAGAUGUGGACAGUGCAAUGUAAGGUAUUCUUAUAGCAUGUUUGUAAUUGAGGAAAUGAUAAAUGGAGUUUGAAAGUUGUCCUAACUAAUUUGAAGAUGAAAGCUUUUUAUUGUUUUCCUAAAAAUAAAUCAGCUGUUCAAAUGCUAGAUUAAAAUUAGAUUAACUUUGAAUCCACCACAAUUCUAAAUCCAGUUUAAUUAAACACACUUCACAAAAAAAAGACUUUCA